rnacentral:rRNA from 1 species
ACAUGCCUACAACAUAGAGUUAAUGCGCCAAAUCCCAUUAGAAAUCCAUAGUUAAGCGUGCUUGGGCUAGAGUAGUACUCGGAUGGGUGACCACCCGAGAAGUAUUAGUAUUUUACAUGCC